CCAAUAGCGUAUAUUAAAGUUGUUGCAGUUAAAAAGCUCGUAGUUGAAUUUCGGAAUUUGUCGGUUGGUCGGGCUUCACUGUCCGCACUGACCUGAUGAAUUUCUACCUUCUGAAUAACCAGCAUGCCAUUUAGUUAGUGCGUUGGGGAAGCAGAGCUAUUACCUUGAAAAAUUAGAGUGCUUAAAGCAGGCUUAUGCUUGAAUAGAUUAGCAUGGAAUAAUAAAAUAGGACGGCAUGGUUCUAUUUUGUUGGUUUCUAGGAUCACCGUAAUGAUUAAUAGGGAUAGUUGGGGGCAUUAGUAUUCAAUUGUCAGAGGUGAAAUUCUUGGAUUUAUUGAAGACUAACUUCUGCGAAAGCAUUUGCCAAGGAUGUUUUCAUUAAUCAAGAACGAAAGUUAGGGGAUCGAAGACGAUCAGAUACCGUCGUAGUCUUAACCAUAAACUAUGCCGACUAGGGAUCGGACGAUGUUAAUUUUUAAUGACUCGUUCGGCGCCUUACGGGAAA
rnacentral:rRNA from 1 species